GCCCUGGUUGCACAAUGUUUAAGCUCUUGGCUGCUAACCAAAAGGUUGGUGGUUCAAACUCACCCAGCGGCU
rnacentral:tRNA from 1 species